GAUGAACGCUGGCGGCGUGCUUAACACAUGCAAGUCGAGCGAAGCACUUUACUUAGAUUUCUUCGGGAUGAAGAGUUUUGUGACUGAGCGGCGGACGGGUGAGUAACGCGUGGGCAACCUGCCUCAUACAGGGGGAUAACAGUUAGAAAUGACUGCUUAUACCGCAUAAGACCACAGCACCGCAUGGUGCAGAGGCAAAAACUCCGGUGGUAUGAGAUGGACCCGCGUCUGAUUAGCUGGUUGGUGGGGUAACGGCCUACCAAGGCAACGAUCAGUAGCCGGCCUGAGAGGGCGACCGGCCACAUUGGGACUGAGACACGGCCCAAACUCCUACGGGAGGCAGCAGUGGGGAAUAUUGCACAAUGGGGGAAACCCUGAUGCAGCGACGCCGCGUGAAGGAAGAAGUAUUUCGGUAUGUAAACUUCUAUCAGCAGGGAAGAAAAUGACGGUACCUGACUAAGAAGCCCCGGCUAACUACGUGCCAGCCGCCGCAGUAA
rnacentral:rRNA from 1 species